AUUCGUCCGAUGAGUCCCAAAUAGAACGAAACGCGCGUCUUGAAU
rnacentral:hammerhead_ribozyme from 1 species